rnacentral:lncRNA from 1 species
CUCUAACAUGUUUUAUGAGGAGUAAAUUUUACAUAUGCAAUUUCAACAAUCAGAUGCAUUUACACUUGUCCAGUUUCACCUGGAAUGCAUCCCAGACCGCCUCCUGAAGUGGUUUGAGCGAUCAGAUAUAAAUCUGUCUCUAAAGCGUUUGGAGGGCGUUUACACUUUUCACGAUCGGAUAGCUCGAUCCGAUGAAGUGUCCAGGUGUAAACGGGCCUUAAGUGUCACAACUUAGAGCUUGUAGAUGCUGUAAUAAAAUAGUCGACCCUGUUACUUUUCUGAAUUUUUCAGAUGCUUUGAGGGUUUGAAGCGUUUGAACGUACAGUGAAGCAGGUCAGAGGUCGUCAUGCACUGGUUUUUCUGAGGCGGCACCAGUGGCUUUCAUGGGUCACAUGAUGCCCUGAGAGAGAGAACACAUGACCACAAAAAAACACUUUAAGCUGUUAGAGGAGUUAGUCUUGUACUCCACUUGGAGACCAACACUGUUUCACCAAUCCUGUUCAAUCACUCUAUCGCUCUAUCUGUCACUUUAUCUAUCGUUAUAUCAUUCUUUCUGUCCACUAUUCUUUCCAUUCUGUCUGUCAUCAUUAUAGUUCGUUCUAUCCAUCGUUCUUUCUUUCUAUCGUUCUUUCUGUCCAUUGUUCUUUUUAUCCAUCAUAUCGUUCUAUUUAUUGUUCUUUCGAUCUCUUUUUUCUCUGUUGUUCUUUCUGUCCAUCAUUUUAUCGUCUUUCCAUCUAUUGGUUUUAUCCAUCGUUAUCAUUCUAUUUAUCAUUUUUUCUAUCAAUUGGUUUUCUAUCUAUCGUUCUUUUUAUCCAUCGUUUUUCAUUAUUUCUAUCCAUCAUUCUAUCUAUCAAUCUUUCCAUCUAUUGUUCUUUCUAUCCAUCAUUACAUCAUUCCAUAUUUCUAUCAUGCUGUCUUUGUCGUAUUUCUAUCUUUCUAUCUAUAUGUCGUUCUGUCAGUCUUCCUCUCCAUCAUUAUAUCAUUCUUUCUAUCUGUAGUUCUUCCUGUUAUAUCGUUCCUUAUAUUUUUACAUCGUUCAUUGUAUCUAUUGUUGUCAUCCUUUCUACCAUUAUACCAUUGUUCUUUCCAUUUGAUAUUGUUCUUUUUAUCUAUUGUUCUGUCAUUCUUUCUGUUGUAUCGUUCUGUUGUCAUUGUCAUUCUAGCAAUCAUUGUAUCUGUGUUGUUCUUUCUCUCUAUCAUUCUGUCUAUCCUUCUUUUUGACACCAUACAGUAUUCAGUACAGAUGUCAGUCGUUAUCAGCUGCGAAUCUCAUGCUUUCUUUCACUGUAAUUUCCACAUCAGUUAAACUCUUCUCAACUCUGUCACUGUUUUAAUGCUCUCUGUUGUACUUGUAUGUUUGUGGCUGCUGUUUGGCAUUCUCUCUUUCAUCUGUACCCUGGUUUGUGUUGCAGACGGCUCGGUGAGAUAAGCACAGGAGUUAGUACAGUACACAUGCCAUUAUGACUGUGUGUUGCAUCAGCUGCUUCUCAUUCAGUCGCUGCAGGUGAGUGAGAGACACCUGUCCACAUUAAACCAAGCCGUAGCAGGUCAGUAGAGCAACACUUACUCAUGAAUUACACAUGAGUCUCACCUGCCAUCUUAGAAAUGCAAUGUAUUCUUUGGAUGAAAAUGACUGUAAUGUGAGUGAAAUGAACUCCAAACUAGAUAUUACGGGAGUUAAACCUUCAGUGCUGUCUGUCUGAUGAGAAGAACAUAUUCAGAUAACUUACAAUCAAAGUAACUUAAGAAUACAAUAACUUAAUCUUACAGACCAGUGUUGUUUUAGUGUUUUUGAGAUGCUAUUAUAGAUUUUCUUUUUAUAUUUUCUGUUUUCCUUUUUUUUAAUUUGUGUUUUUGUCAUUAUUAUAAGUUUUAUUUUUAAAAUAUGUCUGUGCAAUACCAAUAAUGAGAGUCUGAAGCCUAAUAUUACUAGGGACAUUCUAUAAAAUGUGUACGUCCCUCAUUAGCAUAUGCAUAUUAGAGUUUUGUAAUAAACAAACAAACUUACAUGUAUAUAUACAAAUAUAUGCAUUUAAAAUAAGAGUGACUGCCUAUUGUGUGUCCAGGUUAUUGACUCUAUACUGUACAGCCAAUAACCAAACUAUAAGUAAAUGUUAUUUAUUUAUUUGAUUGAUUAAUUGACUGAUUUAUAGACACAUUAUAGACAGUUUUCAGAAGGUCAGAAGUAGAUUUCUUAAAUAGCCAACCUUAAAAACUUAUUUAGUCCAUUUAUUUGUCAGUAUAAGUUAAUGCAUUGUCUAAAAAAUGCAAACAAAAAAACAUUGUUCUUUCUCAUAUUCAUUAACUGGAAUACAGUUCAGAAAUUUUUUUUUUUUUUUUUUUUUUUAAGAGUUUUAGUCCUAGUUUCAGUUAUAAUAUAACUGAAAUAAAUCUAAUAUAACUCAAAUCAACGAGCUCUUACAGACCCCAGACAUAAAAUACAAUCUUAACAGCCUAGAGGAAUACUUUUUUAUUAUUCAUUUGUAUUAUUCAUUUUUAUUAGGCCGCUGUUUUAUAACUCUUGAGACUCACUGUAGUUAUUUUUUAUUGAAGUACAGUAUGAACUUUGCCUGAGAUAUCUAUCUUAAUAUUCCUCAGAAAAAGUAAAACUAAGUCAAAUGUUGACAUACAGUAAGAGUACAGAGCUAUAAAAUUUGAUGAGAAAUGACUGAGGUUCUAUUGAGAUCUUGUGAGUUUUGAGGAUUCUCUCUUAGGAAAUCUGAGCAUUUGAGACAUUGCUGAGAUGUACUGUGCUGUUUUCAUUCAGUCUGAUUGCUGGAGAAGGAACUGAGAUAUUUAAGAGAUCUCACUGCACUUUCUCUUUCCUUUGUGAAAGCUUGUGAAUAUCGUUGGCACGCGGUUGGGUCUGUCUGUUUGUUCCCAGCAUGUUCUCCUGGAGGUUUGUUUUCUUACUCCAGGCAGGUUCAGGGCAAAGGAAAGCGGUCUGACGGAGCAGAGGAUGAUGGGAUAUGAGCUCUGGGUGUAAUGUUACAUGCCAAAUUGGUUUCCCGCUGCCGAGCCUCUUCCUGAUUUGGCAGCUGUGCAGCCCUAGGCAUGAUGGGUAAAAUCAAGGGAUGCUCAUUUACUCUCAGUGACAGCAUUGUUUUUAAAAAUAUGUUCAUCUUCACAUUGUAUUUAGGGAUUUAUGGUUGGUUUGUAUCAUAUGGUUGCAAAGCCGCUCAACUGAAAAACUAACAUGCUAAUUACUUAUUAGUUUUUAAGUUUUAUUUUUGGGAAAAUAUUGUUUAAUUGGAAGACAUUUAAUUGUUGUUUUUGUAUGAUUUAUUGAAGAUUUGUUUUGAGUUUUGUGUUUUAAGAGUUUGAAUAAAUGUGAAAUCAGUAACACCAC